GUGGGGGAUAUUGCACAAUGGAGGAAACUCUGAUGCAGCGACGCCGCGUGAGGGAAGAAGGUUUUCGGAUUGUAAACCUCUGUCUUCGGGGACGAAACAAAUGACGGUACUCGAGGAGGAAGCCACGGCUAACUACGUGCCAGCAGCCGCGGUAAUACGUAGGUGGCAAGCGUUGUCCGGAAUUACUGGGUGUAAAGGGAGCGCAGGCGGAACUGCAAGUUGGGUGUUUAAUCUACGGGCUCAACCCGUAUCAGCAUUCAAAACUGUGGUUCUUGAGUAAUGCAGAGGUAGGCGGAAUUCCCGGUGUAGCGGUGGAAUGCGUAGAUAUCGGGAGGAACACCAGUGGCGAAGGCGGCCUACUGGGCAUCAACUGACGCUGAGGCUCGAAAGCAUGGGUAGCAAACAGG
rnacentral:rRNA from 1 species